rnacentral:lncRNA from 1 species
AAUGUGACAAAAAUGACAGGAGCAAAUAUCAUUUUGGGGCCAUUUCAGAGAGCUGCGGAGGGUGACAGCUCCUCACUGUGCUGUGACAGCAGAAUCCGAGAGACGGCUGCUGCUGAGCAUCGCGUGCUGCUGCCCAGCAGGGAAAGGCAGACCAUGGUUUUGCAGUGAUGAAGCCAGACAGCCCUUCCAGCCCUCCAGAAAACCGGGAGGUUUGGAAAGAGCGUGCUGAGAUGACGGGGACCACUGCCUGGCUGGCAAGUGUCAGCCCUUCUCUCGAUGCCAUCUCCAGAGCCUGUUUCCACAGCUCCUCUGGCUGGAGGGAGAACCAAGAGAGAAAUCAGAGAGAAAAUACCCUGAGAUUCAUUCAGCAAUACACUGGAUGAAGUAUACAGCAAAUUAGCCAAGGACGUGGCAGGGCAAGGUGUGCUGUUCAAUUUCUCUUGCACUGGCCAGUGCUGCCCUG